UAAUUCCUGUUAAUAGUACACUGGAAAUAACCAGUGAACGAAAGAGGAUGCAGUAAUCUGGAAAGAUGGCAGCAUUCUGGAGCAGAAGGAAGGUCGUGGAGAUAAUUUGGUCCCAAUGUUUUGUUCUACAGAAGAGAAAACCAAGAAGGAAGCCUGUCUGCAUCUGGUUUGUUCUCUUGGACCAAAGUGGGAAAGCUUGAAGGACCAGUGGCUCAGUGUCUUCUGCAGCCCCUGACCACCAUCUCUGAAUCUGACUGCAUGAGGUACCCAGGCGUGUGGAAUCAUACAGCAGCUGUCUUUUGAGUCUGGCUUAUUUAAUUUAGCACAAUGCCUUUGUGG